GGCUGCCUCCACUAAUAACUGCGGCUCCAUCGGAGGAGAGGAAAUGGAAGCCACCCUCAGUCUCAGGAACUAGCCGCAAAAAAAGUUAAAAAGUCGCAGAGGCAACCGCUGUGAGGUGGAGAUCCCUGGGACCAUGGCUGCAGGGAAGCCGUACUGCCAGGAAACGGGGGACCAGAGAAGCAGUGCUGAGUAAGCCGGGCAUCUGAGCAAAUACCCCUGGCCUGCCCCAGACACUUGGAGAUCCAUCACGUUCAGGGGAAGGCCCCAUGGUGGAGGGACGAGGAGGAUAUGCCUUGCUGCGGAUGGAAAAGUCGCAUCAGAACUUAAUGGGGAAUCUUCGCAGCUAUUUCCUCUCUCCAGGGUUUCCCAUGGAAGAGGGAGUGUCUGGCCCAGGACAUGGUUAUUAAUAGCAUCCCCAGCUUUACCCCUCUCUUAUUUGAAGGUCAAACAAAGUCAGUAUAAAACAAGAAAUGAAAAAAAAUCUCACUGCCAGGCUGUCAGCCUAGGGUUGUCUUGCAUGAACCAGCAGCUCUAGCAAAUCAAGGCCAUUCUACAAGUAAUAAAGUAUUGUUGUGUGUAAAUCCA